CGCGUAGGUGGUAGUGCAAGUCUGGGGUGGAAUCUUAGGGCUUAACCCUAAAACUGCCUUGGAAACUGCAUUACUUGAGUCAGUGAGGGGAGGGUAGAAUUCCUGGUGUAGCGGUGAAAUGCGUAGAUAUCAGGAGGAAGGCCUGUGGCGAAGGCGGCCCUCUGGCGCUGAACUGACACUGAGGCGCGAAAGCGUGGGUAGCAAACAGGAUUAGAUACCCUGGUAGUCCACGCCCUAAACGGUGGGUACUAGGUGUAGGGCUCGUAAGGGUUCUGUGCCGAAGGGAAACCAUUAAGUACCCCGCCUGGGGAUACGGCCGCAAGGUUGAA
rnacentral:rRNA from 1 species